rnacentral:rRNA from 1 species
GUGGGGAAUCUUGCGCAAUGGGCGAAAGCCUGACGCAGCCAUGCCGCGUGAAUGAUGAAGGUCUUAGGAUUGUAAAAUUCUUUCACCGGGGACGAUAAUGACGGUACCCGGAGAAGAAGCUCCGGCUAACUUCGUGCCAGCAGCCGCGGUAAUACGAAGGGGGCUAGCGUUGCUCGGAAUUACUGGGCGUAAAGGGCGCGUAGGCGGACAGUUUAGUCAGAGGUGAAAGCCCAGGGCUCAACCUUGGAAUUGCCUUUGAUACUGGCUGUCUUGAGUACGGGGGAGGUGAGUGGAACUCCGAGUGUAGAGGUGAAAUUCGUAGAUAUUCGGAAGAACACCAGUGGCGAAGGCGACUCACUGGCCCGUUACUGACGCUGAGGCGCGAAAGCGUGGGGAGCAAACAGGAUUAGAAACCCUGGUAGUCC